CAUAAUAUAUCAUUACAAAUAUAGGAUGUUUUAAAUUAAAGGCAUCAUAUAAUUUAAUCUUAAUUAAGUGGGUUAAACAUAAUUGAUCAUUGCAAACAUAAAUGCAGACCAUAUGCACACUUCAAGUGAAUCAUCACACUGAAUUUUAUAAUGGAACUUUCAUGACCUAUGACAUUUAUAGAAAGAUUACUACUAUUUGAGAAUAGAUAGGAGUGCUAUGGGACAUGGGAGUGCUAUUCAAAAUAUAGGUAGGAGAAACGAUUGUAUAUUAUGAUGAUAGAAGAAUUUUGUGAAGGACAUGAUAGCAAGUUCCAAAAUAGAAGUAUUCUUCAACAUAGGAGACUUUUCUAGGCCAAUCUCAUUAUAUCCAAAUUCAAUUUACAAAAACAACCACAUAAAUUAUCAUUAUCAUGACAAUAUGAAGAAAAAAAAAGUUUCAAUGCACAAUAAGGAUGCAAGAGUACAUCAGGACUCGAUCUAUUUCUCUUUUCCUCUAAACAAUAAUUCAAAAAUAAUCACAGCUCCUUUUUUCCAUUAAUUUGGUUGAUAAGUGGCGCGCAGAGAUCAUAAAUGUCUAUAUUGUAAGCAGAAAAAAAUUACGAACCAUUGUGGAUUCUUGUGACGCGAAAACUAAAAAAUCAUAUUCGCGACGCGCAGAAAUUACAAACCUUUGUUGUAUCAAGAAGGCAUAAAAAUUAC
rnacentral:lncRNA from 1 species